rnacentral:tRNA from 1 species
GUGGCUGUAGCUCAACUGGUUAGAGCACCAGACUGUGGAUCUGGGGGUUGUGGGUUCGAAUCCCAUCAGCCACC